CACGUAGGGUGCGAGCGUUGUCCGGAAUUAUUGGGCGUAAAGAGCUCGUAGGCGGUGUGUCGCGUCGGCCGUGAAAACCUGCAGCUUAACUGUGGGCUUGCGGUCGAUACGGGCAUCACUGGAGUUCGGCAGGGGAGACUGGAAUUCCUGGUGUAGCGGUGAAAUGCGCAGAUAUCAGGAGGAACACCGGUGGCGAAGGCGGGUCUCUGGGCCGAUACUGACGUUGAGGAGCGAAAGCGUGGGGAGCGAACAGG
rnacentral:rRNA from 1 species